rnacentral:rRNA from 1 species
UACGUAGGUGGCAAGCGUUGUCCGGAUUUAUUGGGUUUAAAGGGUGCGUAGGUGGUUUGCUAAGUCAGUGGUGAAAGCUGGUUGCUCAACAAUCAAGUUGCCAUUGAUACUGUCAGACUUGAGAGAAGUGGAGGUUCAUGGAAUGGAUGGUGUAGCGGUGAAAUGCAUAGAUAUCAUCCAGAACGUCGAUUGCGAAGGCAGUGGGCUGUACUUUUUCUGACACUGAGGCACGAAAGCGUGGGGAUCAAACAGG